GUUAUCGCACUUGAAAGUUUUUGCCAAUCUGUGAAAGCUUGGUUCAACAUUCGCUAUACUGAAUACGAAGACUUACUACAAAAUUAUGGUAUAUCUUCUGGCUAAGGCUCAGGAUCCUAUUAACCUCAUUGAAACAUGGAGUCCAUUUCAAUGGCACCUCCCUUCAUCCCCUGACUACUGAAAACAGUCACUACAGCACUUUGAAAAUUUGGAUCUCUCACCAUUGUACUUUUCAAUGCUAU